rnacentral:lncRNA from 1 species
UUCUGUGGGUGCACCCAUUGCCAUGAGUGCGGCUGCUUAAUGCUUCUGUCAUUGGAAGUCUGGUCUCCAAACCACUGCCUCAAGCCAGCAUGACUCCAGCUGCCUGGAAUUCCAUUCAUCUCUUAGAGCUGGAUGUCAGCGGCCACACUUCCCCUGCUGUGAUCCUGCGCUAUCAGGCUGGCUGGGACCCACGACGCAGAUGAGCUUGUCUACAUUUUCAUUGUAACAUCACGGGUUUUCUGCAUGGGACGGCCUUGCGAAGUUUGAAGAGUGAGCUCCGUCAACACGAGCUCUAACGGAUCCAAGAUUUCAGUAUCUCAAAUCAUGGUGCCUUCACUGUGCAUGUGUGUACAUGUGUCAGCAUUCUGUUCUAAAGCUCUCCCUGCUAUUAAAAAUAAAUGGGCUCUAUACUCUUAGUGAUUAGAGUCAAGAGUUACUUUUGGGCUAAUUACCUCUCUUUUGGUAAUUUGGAAGAUGUGGCAGGUUACAUGUACCUGUGAGAUACAUUGUUGUUGUUUUUUUUGUUGUUUUGCUGUUUGGCAAAUUUUUUCUAUUUAUAGAUGCAAACCAC